rnacentral:rRNA from 1 species
GACGAACGCUGGCGGCGUGCUUAACACAUGCAAGUCGAACGGUGAAGGGGUCUGCUUUUGUGGGCCCUGGAUGAGUGGCGAACGGGUGAGUAACACGUGAGUAACCUGCCCCCUUCUUCUGGAUAACCGCAUGAAAGUGUGGCUAAUACGGGAUAUUCUGGGUCUGUCGCAUGAUGGGUCUGGGAAAGAUUGCGCCUUUGGGUGUUGUUGGUGGGGGAUGGGCUCGCGGCCUAUCAGCUUGUUGGUGGGGUGCUGGCCUACCAAGGCGGUGACGGGUAGCCGGCCUGAGGGGGUGGACGGUCACACUGGGACUGAGACACGGCCCAGACUCCUACGGGAGGCAGCAGUGGGGGAUAUUGCACAAUGGGCGCAAGCCUGAUGCAGCGACGCCGCGUGAGGGAUGGAGGCCUUCGGGUUGUAAACCUCUUUCGCCAGUGAAGCAGGCCUGCUCCUUGUGGGUGGGUUGACGGUAGCUGGAGAAGAAGCGCCGGCUAACUACGUG